AACUGAUACUACCUGCGGGAACCUGCGGAAGGAUCAUUAACGUAUCUCUCCGAUGGGGUGUGGCGCACCCUGCUCCGGCCCAAUGGGUCGUGAAGCGGGUGGGCCGCCCUCGUCCAAACCUCACAAACCCACUGUGAACCUUCACGGCGGAGGGGUUCCACGGCUCGCGCUGUGAACUCUGAGGCCGCAUACCAAACCCCAGUUUACAAGGAAUGUCGUGCGGACGCUGUGCCGCCUAAA
rnacentral:misc_RNA from 1 species